rnacentral:sRNA from 1 species
GCUGGGCACGGUGGCUCACGCCUGUAAUCCCAGUGGCUCGGGAGGCUGAGGCAGGAGGAUCUCAAGUUCAAAGCCAGCCUCAAAGUCGAAGUGCUGAGCAACUCAGUGAGACCCUGUCUCUA